AGGCUCGCCUGCUAUGAAGAAUAGUAGUGCCUUUAUCAUCACGCAAAAUCCAACCAACUCCACACAAAUCCUGAUUAUUAAUCCAUGACACUCCUAUAUUGCAUUUUAGAUACCCCGACGGAGGUCUUGUCCAAGAGGGGGAGUUCUGUAGCGUUGUCAAGGAGGUUUGUGUACCUUCAUUUCCAAGCACAUUGAGCUCAAACCACACAUUCGCUUCUUCUUUCGCUUUCAAUAAGACUGAGACAGAGGAGUAGUG
rnacentral:lncRNA from 1 species